AUUGUGCUUAAGAGAUGUUUAAUAUUAUUAAAAAAAUAAAAAAUUAAAUGUCUUUUUUUAUAACUCUGUAAGUAUUAAAAACAAUUUAUUUGAUGUAAGGAUAGCAUGAGCUAUAUAAAUAAAUCAAAAAGUAAUAAAAUAAAAUUCUAUUUGAUACAUGCAAAAAGUGGAAAACAUGGAUAAAAUUUUCAAGUUUGUUAAUGUUAUGAUAAUCAUUUUUUCCAUAUUUCUUGCUUCAACACAAAUUUCACACGGAUCUAACAUUCCAUGUAAAACUGAUCGUGAUUGUCCGGUACUUUCCGUCAACCAAGCUAGUUCAAAACCUAUAAGAAUGAAAUGUCGUAAAGGUUUUUGUACCUAACAAUCAUAAAGCUCCAAAGAUUAUAUGAUUGUUAGACCCCAAAAGAAUCCACAAAUUCACUACUCCAUGAAUUCUUGUUUAGUUAUUGUGAUCAUCCAUUAAAUGAUUUUUUUUUAUAUAAUUUUUUUAAUUUCAGGUACCUUGUAAGAUGAUGCAAAUGAAAUUAAAUAAAGCAUAAAAAAUAUUAUCUA